UCAUAAAAUAUCACAGUGAAUUUUUAAAGUUAGUAUUAUUAUUUAAGUUAAAAUCAAUAAAUUAGUAAAUAAAUAUCAUAAAGAGACAUUUAAAACACUAGUUUAAGGCAUGCAAUUAAUAAAUUACUUAAAAUACAACAAAUUAAAAUCUUUUAUUCAGAAGUCUUGGGAAAUUUGUUUCGAAACCGGGUGUUUCGCAUUUUGGUGGUUCGGUUCUUUUCUUGUUUUUAAAUUUUUAGAUUCGUGGAAAAUUUGUUCUUAACUCAGCGAUAACUAUUAUAUAUAAACGUCACAAAAAAGAACAAAAUCUGUACAAAAUGCAGCGAACAUUUAAAAAAAAUAUUUCGUUCAAAAUCGAACAUUUUACUGACGCCUAUUCUGGACUUUGGAAAAAUGGAGGAACCUUAACACCUAAACAGUAUACUUUUUGAGAUGUGGAUCGGACGAGUCUGUCCGAGUUCAGCGGAGAACAUCUGGGUCUACAUUCGGGCGACGUUUUUCAACUUUAAUUUUACCGACUUAAACAAAAGAACACUAUUCAACUACAGCCGUUCAACAUGAAAGCAGUUAUCAAAAUUAAAUGUGCAAAAAAAAACAGGUCGACAAUGAACUAAAGUGGUGAGUUUUUGAAUUAAAUUAUUAUUUCCCUAUCAGAAAUAUAUAUUUUAUAAAAAAAACAUAUUAUCAAAUUAUUAUUACAAAAAACUAACCUAUAUCAAAAACUUAUAUAUUUUUUU